rnacentral:rRNA from 1 species
GACGAACGCUGGCGGCGUGCCUAACACAUGCAAGUCGAACGAGGUCCAUGCAGUGGCAACACUGCGGAAGACCUAGUGGCGAACGGGUGAGUAACACGUGAGGAACCUGCCCCGAAGACCGGGAUAACCCUCCGAAAGGAGAGCUAAUACCGGAUACCCCCACCGGAUCGCAUGAUCUGGUGAGGAAAUGGAUUCCGCUUCGGGAGGGCCUCGCGGCCUAUCAGCUAGUUGGUGGGGUAACGGCCCACCAAGGCAUCGACGGGUAGCUGGUCUGAGAGGACGAUCAGCCACACUGGGACUGAGACACGGCCCAGACUCCUACGGGAGGCAGCAGUGGGAAUCUUGCGCAAUGGGCGAAAGCCUGACGCAGCAACGCCGCGUGGGGGAUGAAGGCUCUCGGGUUGUAAACCCCUUUCAGCAGGGACGAAUCAAGACGGUACCUGCAGAAGAAGCCCCGGCUAACUACGUGCCAGCAGCCGCGGUAAU